rnacentral:snRNA from 1 species
GUCUGCUUCAGCAGCACACAUACUAAAAUUGGAACCAUACCGAGAAGAUUAGCAUGGCCCCUGCACAAAGAUGACUGGCAAAUUUGUGAAGCAUUCCAUUUAAAA